CCUAAGAGAGAAGACACCACAGAACUUCUCAUGUGGGUGGCUAAUACCAAGGCAGAUUAUGUUGAACAAAUUCAAGAUCCCUGGCUCCUUUUUCACCGGAGAGGAAGAAGGGGGGGUGGGAAGAGAAGUAAAUAACUCAGUGUCACGUGAAACCACAACUGCUUUUCUGGAUAUGCACCUGCACCUCAAAUCUCAAUGGCCUUUGAUUAAAACACUCCCCUUUCCUUACCUCAUUAUAUCCUUCAAAAAGCCAUUAAUAAAAUCCAAGAUCCUUCCUUCUCUUGCCUCUCCCAUCAUAACAGUACUCUGCAUGGUUUCUUUGGGGUGGAUAGUAGCUUCCAAGCCGUUUUUAGCUAUGGUGCAUCACAAAAGCCUCCUUUCUCCACAAUUCUUUCUUAAUAUGCACACAUACUACCCCAAGGCUGGAAUCCUUCCCACCGUCUCAGGAGGGAAUCAGAUGACUUCUGACUGACCCUGAAUGACUGCCCCUUACUAGAAACUAGAAACAAAGUGCUCUAUUGGUUCUUCUCUAUUUUUGUGAGCCUUUCUCCGCAGGUCCUGGGGGUUACGGGGAAGUUUCUCUCAAAAGCCGGCUUCCUACUGCCUUUAUGGUAAUACAAGUUUCAACUAAUGCCACCCAUCUCUGUUCUGAAAAGAGUCAAGUGGCUAGGCAGUAUGAAUUUCAGUGCAGAAAAAGCAGCUCUGUCUAUGGGGAAAUCCCUGACCCAGGCAGCCAAGCGUCUCUGCUAAGAGAAUUGGCCCAGCGCUGGCUCCUACACCUGCCAGGCGGGUCUAGGCAGCUGAGGGCCUUGUGGCCACAGCUGGUCAUGGCACCCAAGGAGCCACACUCCCUCCUCACAUCGAGCCAGAAACACCAUCAUCAGUGCUACAGUCACACUGAGAGAGGGAAUGGAGAUCCUCGAUUUAGAGGACAAUUCUGCCUCAUCUGUCGUAAGAAUCCAAUGUGUUUCAUAGGCAAAUUAAGAAUAAUCACGUAUCAGCUAUUGUGAGAGCAAGGCAAAGCACAAAAUGUCCCCUUGAGCAGUUUGGCUAGAAGUGAUAUAUUAUGAACAGAGGGGUUCAGAGGGAUUCCCACGUCCGCCUAACAAACAACGGUACCCUACGAAUGUGACUCUUUGGCACAUGCAGAAGCCUCUCCUUCAGGCAUGUCCCACAGCUCACUGGAAAUGAACCAGGUUUGUGAUUCAUCACGGUUUUGCUUCUUGGAGAUAUAGCUCACUGCGUUACGGCCUAAUGAGACAUCAAUGAUUCCAGGAGCCUCAGACUAAACAAGAGACUGCGGCUCCUGCUUGUUAACAAGGCUGCCACUCUAAAGGCAGAAUGAUAGUCUCUUUCCGAAAUUCUGCUAGGCACAGCAGGAACCUCCACUUACUGAAAGCCACCUGGAAGCUAAAAGCUAUUUCAUUACAACGAGCCAUUUGCCUGUAUUGCUUAAUUCCUUUUGCCUCUUAGUGGGAACACAAUUAAGGGAACAAAGAGGGACCAUUAAGCAGUUCAUACAGUGUCAACUUAAUACCACAGGCUUUACAGACAGGAAUUUGGGUUCUUCAGGUUUACACACCCACAGCUAUCCCUGAGCUGGAGCCCUGGAAAGCUGAGUCUGUAAGUGUUCUGGACACAGCGAGAGCACUCAGAUAGCCGCAGGCAUGCUUCUCUGAAAGGUAGUUGACAGCUUGGAUGCCCAGCCCAUACUAUCCUUUCUUCUCAAGCAGGACAGCUGAUGCCUUCCAUGUGGAAAAUCAGGCCCACUGGACCCACGUUCACUCUGUGCCUGCUCCCGGGCAUGACAACUAGAAGCAAAAACCCAGCAAGUGCUAGAGCUGGGAGGGACCCGAACCAUUACAGUCACAGCUAGAGAGCACCCAGCUCCAGCUCUUUCAUUCUGCAGAUGCCCAAACCGCAGUUUCCAGAGAGGUCUAGGGACUUGCCCAAAGUUACACAGAGAGCAACCAGCAGAGGCAGGACCAUAAAAUUCACUUCCCCUGGUUCUGGACCAAGAUGGUCUCAUUUUUCCUGAGAAGGAUGACUUUCUAUCCAAUUUGGAACUCUUUCCUUCCUUCAGAUAUCUUGUGAGAGUCCCCUGCUCACAUCCAGACAACUUCUACAGGGAUCUCUUCCUCUUAGUCCUGGCUCCUGCCAGCUGUGGGAUUAAAAUCUCAAAAUAAAGCAACAGACUGCUUUUCUUGGAGCCUUCCUAACUCCCACUCAAGAAGUGGAUUGUCACAGCGAAUACGGCAGUAACUGAUUUUCAACAGAAAAGAUUCUGCUUUUUACUCAAUUAUUCCUUAAUCUUUUCUCCCCUUUCUUCUAGGGCUGGCAAUAAAUCAAAGCCAAAAAGCUGUAUUCUCUGUUACAUGGAAAGCAACAUUUUUGCUGCAGAGAGAAGCUACUACCAGUCAGCACCUAACUGUGACCAACUAAAUGACCGGCCGGGGUGCGGGCAGUUUUCUGGGAAGGGAUACCAUAGCAGCUGCAACUUCCCAUGAAGGUUUCCCACAUCUGAACAUAGAGAAGAUCAUGGUCAGUCUGAUGCAGCUGGCAGCCCAUUUGGUGGGGCAAAAACAUCUCAACGCGUGUGUGCACGUGCAUGUGUAUGUGUUUAAUUUCUGGAAGCCAGUUUCAUGACCUGGUAGUUAAUCUGAUAAGCUCUUCUGGAGCCAGCUACACUCAGCUUCCCUCCAAGGUUUCUAUGGGUCAUCUCACAGUGACGAGCCUCAGGAACAGGACACAAACACUGAAGCAGAUUGCCUGCCAAAUAGAAGUCUAAACUAUGAUGAGCCAGCGCCUCCUAGGAUAUGAGGUGUAGGGUAGUAAAGUUUUGGCGGUAUAAGAAAUAAAGAUAGUGAAGAUUAGAGUCCACUUUUGGAGAACAUCUAUUCAUUCACACGACAAACAGAAUCUGCCUUGAUCGUCGCAAGGAUAAUGGCCCAUAUCACAUCACCUCUGUAUUUAGGUACUUAAAAUCACUAAGUAAGCAAAGCCAGGGUUCUCAUGGUCUUCUAACUUCUGACUGCCGUGGUCCAACUGACCCAGAAUUCCAGACUAUUCAGAAGCAAGUCCUAGAAGUAUCUCAGAGUCUCCCACCCAGGAAAGAAAUGGAGAUUUCUCCCCCUAUCUCUUGACACCGUUAUUGACAAAUUAUAUGCUCUAAAAAGCCCUGGGAGAAUAGAAAGUCCUUGUUAUCUAAUAUUUCUUUAAGAGCCUUGCUCUUAUCCUUGGGUGUUAGGAAUUUUAAUCCAAGUCCUUGUUAAAGAGGUGGCUUAAGGCAUUCAUAGAGACCUAGCCCCAACUGAAUAUGCUCCAUAUUACCAGGUUUUCCCUUAUAAAAAGAGAGUAAUGAAGCAAAUCUCUAUAUAAAAACAUGCAGGGAUUUGUUCCAUGCAUUUCUAUCUUCUAGCAAUGUAUUAUUACCCUAGAGGCUGUAAUUCUAGAGACCUCUUACUUGAAACAUGAUAAUAAGCAUUUUGUAAUUAAGGGAUAGAAAGAAACAGGGACAGAAUUUAUACCUAGCAUAAAAAUCUUCCCCUAUUUCCAACACUGACUUUUACAUUCUUAAAAGUGCUUCCUUGUAUUUAUACAUUUUGUGAAACUAAAGCCAUCCUUCUGGUUCCAUGUGCUCGUAUUAGAUAAAAGAACCUGUCUCAUAGGAUGGUCUGUGGCAGUACAAUAAAAAAAGUUAACUCUGACUUCUAGCGAUAAAGUAAUGAGACUUAACUGACUAGUUUAUAUUACCUGAUUUUUAAAUGAAAGAACAACAGGGUAUUGAACGAGCUAUAAAAUAACAAAAUUACAUAAUACUUUGAAUCUGUGCUGAAUAAACAUGGUCUCUGAAUGGUGGCAAGUAUUAAAGGGACAUUCUGAAAAUGAAAGAUCAUGGAAAAUAUGAUUUUCUUCAUAUAACUAACCCCAUGAGAAGGUACAACUAUUUGUCUCACGAUAAGAUUUCUUUUUUAAAAAGGUGGACUAGUCUUCUCAAAUAACCUUCUUUCUUUGAUUCCUCCCACCUCCAUGAAUCUUACUUCUCUUCUAAUUGAGCCUUUAUGACAUUUCCCAUGUUUGUCCUGGUGGAUUCUUCAUGUGAAAUGAAGAAGGAAAAUGUGAAAACAGAAAGACGACCUUUGGGGCAGAGUCACCAAAGCUUGCUAAUAUGACGCAGUCUACAGACAGCGAUUAGGGGCAAAGUCUACGUUUUGGAUCAAAAGAUGACACAGGUACGUAAGCAGAAAGGCAAACUGUGUAGAUACUGGAGCCAGGAGAACUGUGCGUGGUUUACUUUCAAUGUGCAAGGCAGAUGGGUAACUGGCCUGUCUGCCAGACAGCUCCAUUAAAAUUCUUUGCUUACUACUUAAGUGAGUUUGAAAGAUCUUGUUCCAGAUUACUGAUGUGCACAAUACAAAUGUACUAAUCCAAAGAGGCACUAAGAGAAUGAGAAAGCAGUCUUCUUUAAGCACACACUGAUGGACCUUCCGAAACCUCGUGCUUCAGUGAUGGCAAUAAACCCUCAACCCUCUACCUCAGAAGCUGUCAAUGGAAAAUACUUCUUAUCUAUACGGUCUUCCUCCUCUUCAUCAGGUGGUGGCUUUGCUGGAGGCGGUGGACGUUCCCUCUGUAGAAGAGAAAAAUUUCUCCAGGAUCUUGAACUUGACUGUUGACAGAAAACAACUUUGGUCUAUAUGGGUCUCCUCCUGUAUUAAUUCUCAGGAGGUCAAAGACUCUCAGAGCAGCACCAAGUCAAGAAAGGGCCUUCUCCAUCACGGACUAUAAAGAGAGAGCAAUGGCAAUGAACAUGAAGGGUAAGAGAGGUUCUGAGCAAUCUUCCAACCAAUUUCAUUAAAUCAUUAAGGUGUAAACAACA